AGCAGCCGCGGUAAUUCCAGCUCCAAUAGCGUAUAUUAAAGUUGUUGCAGUUAAAAAGCUCGUAGUUGAAUUUCGGGAUUGACACAUCGGUCGUGCCUUAAGGGGUGUGAACUGGUGUAGUCAAUUUCUCACCUUCUGGAGAACCGCGAUGUCCUUAAUUGGGUGCCGCGAGGAACCAGGACCUUUACUUUGAAAAAUUAGAGUGUUUAAAGCAGGCAUUUUUGCUUGAAUACAUUAGCAUGGAAUAAUAAAAUAGGACGGCAUGAUUCUAUUUUGUUGGUUUCUAGGAUCACCGUAAUGAUUAAUAGGGAUAGUUGGGGGCAUUAGUAUUCAAUUGUCAGAGGUGAAAUUCUUGGAUUUAUUGAAGACUAACUACUGCGAAAGCAUUUGCCAAGGAUGUUUUCAUUAAUCAAGAACGAAAGUUAGGGGAUCGAAGACGAUCAGAUACCGUCGUAGUCUUAACCAUAAACUAUGCCGACUAGGAAUCAGACGAU
rnacentral:rRNA from 1 species